rnacentral:pre_miRNA from 11 species
UCUUCGGAGACGAGGGUGAUCUCAAAUCCCGGACGAGCCCCUAAAUGUAGGGACUCCCCCAAAGGGAAGAUCCUCACUCAAGUCUCGGGAUGACUCGACCCCCAAAGAACUCACGAGAGACU